UAAACGCUGAGUGCUAGGUGUUAGGUCCUUUCCGGGACUUAGUGCCGACGCUAACGCAUUAAGCANUCCGCCUGGGGAGUACGACCGCAAGGUUGAAACUCAAAGGAAUUGACGGGGGCCCGCACAAGCGGUGGAGCAUGUGGUUUAAUUCGAAGCAACGCGAAGAACCUUACCAGGUCUUGACAUCCCGAUGCCCGCUCUAGAGAUAGAGUUUUACUUUUUGUACAUCGGAGACAGGUGGUGCAUGGUUGUCGUCAGCUCGUGUCGUGAGAUGUUGGGUUAAGUCCCGCAACGAGCGCAACCCUUAUUGUUAGUUGCCAUCAUUAAGUUGGGCACUCUAGCGAGACUGCCGGUAAUAAACCGGAGGAAGGUGGGGAUGACGUCAAAUCAUCAUGCCCCUUAUGACCUGGGCUACACACGUGCUACAAUGGUUGGUACAACGAGUCGCAAGCCGGUGACGGCAAGCUAAUCUCUGAAAGCCAAUCUCAGUUCGGAUUGUAGGCUGCAACUCGCCUACAUGAAGUCGGAAUCGCUAGUAAUCGCGGAUCAGCUCGCCGCGGUGAAUACGUUCCCGGGCCUUGUACACACCGCCCGUCACACCACGAGAGUUNGUAACACCCAAA
rnacentral:rRNA from 1 species